UACGUAGGGUGCGAGCGUUGUCCGGAAUUACUGGGCGUAAAGCGCACGUAGGUGGCUUGGCAAGUCGGGUGUGAAAUCCCCGGGCUCAACCUGGGAACUGCAUUCGAGACUGCCUUGCUAGAGUAUGGGAGAGGGAAGUGGAAUUUCCGGUGUAGCGGUGAAAUGCGUAGAUAUUCGGAAGAACACCAGUGGCGAAGGCGACUUACUGGACACAUAUUGACGCUGAGGUGCGAAAGCGUGGGGAGCAAACAGG
rnacentral:rRNA from 1 species